UGGCACCCACCUGCCUGGGCAGAGGCUGCGGGACGGUGUGUGGGGGUCAGGGAGCCCCAGCUGUGCGGAUCCCAGGGGUGCCCUGGACAAAGCCGGUGCUGCCACUGCUCAUGUCAAUCUAAGUACAUGUAGGCCCGUGCGAAUCGAAACGGGGACACCGAAAGCGGAUCCCGCGGCGCCGGCGGACCUGGGCACGGACCGCGGGUCGCCUGUUCCCAGAGUCACAUACCAGACCGACUGCUCUGUGAAAGUGAAGGAGCGGGAACCCGGCUUGGGCCACGAACACCCAGUCUCACUGGUAAGUAACUGCACUGGGUGAGCUCCCAAAGAGGAGCAGCUGGAGCAUGUGUAUGGGUGAGGGUCC